CCUACGGGCGGCAGCAGUGGGGAAUAUUGGGCAAUGGGCGCAAGCCUGACCCAGCAACGCCGCGUGAAGGAAGAAGGCUUUCGGGUCGUAAACUUCUUUUCUCAGGGACGAAGCAAGUGACGGUACCUGAGGAAUAAGCCACGGCUAACUCCGUGCCAGCAGCCGCGGUAAUACGGAGGUGGCAAGCGUUAUCCGGAUUUAAUGGGUGUAAAGGGCGUGUAGGCGGGAAAGCAAGUCAGAUGUGAAAACCAUGGGCUCAACCUGUGGCCUGCAUUUGAAACUGGUUUUCUUGAGUACUGGAGAGGCAGACGGAAUUCCUAGUGUAGCGGUGAAAUGCGUAGAUAUUAGGAGGAACACCAGUGGCGAAGGCGGUCUGCUGGACAGCAACUGACGCUGAGGCGCGAAAGCGUGGGGAGCAAACAGGAUUAGAUACCCCUGUAGUC
rnacentral:rRNA from 1 species